rnacentral:rRNA from 1 species
AACGAACGCUGGCGGCAGGCCUAACACAUGCAAGUCGAACGCUGCAGCAAUGCAGAGUGGCAGACGGGUGAGUAACGCGUGGGAACCUUCCCAAUGGUACGGAAUAGCCCAGGGAAACUUGGGGUAAUACCGUAUAAGCCCCAUGGGGGAAAGAUUUAUCGCCAUUGGAUGGGCCCGCGUCGGAUUAGCUAGUUGGUGAGGUAACGGCUCACCAAGGCGACGAUCCGUAGCUGGUUUGAGAGAAUGACCAGCCACACUGGGACUGAGACACGGCCCAGACUCCUACGGGAGGCAGCAGUGGGGAAUAUUGGACAAUGGGCGCAAGCCUGAUCCAGCCAUGCCGCGUGAGUGAUGAAGGUCUUAGGAUUGUAAAGCUCUUUCACCGACGAAGAUAAUGACGGUAGUCGGAGAAGAAGCCCCGGCUAACUUCGUGCCAGCCGCCGCGGUAA